rnacentral:rRNA from 1 species
AUUGAACGCUGGCGGCAGGCCUAACACAUGCAAGUCGAGCGGAUGACGGGAGCUUGCUCCUUGAUUCAGCGGCGGACGGGUGAAUAAUGCCUAGGAAUCUGCCUGGUAGUGGGGGACAACGUUUCGAAAGGAACGCUAAUACCGCAUACGUCCUACGGGAGAAAGCAGGGGACCUUCGGGCCUUGCGCUAUCAGAUGAGCCUAGGUCGGAUUAGCGAGUUGGUGGGGUAAUGGCUCACCAAGGCGACGAUCCGUAACUGGUCUGAGAGGAUGAUCAGUCACACUGGAACUGAGACGCGGUCCAGACUCCUACGGGAGGCAGCAGUGGGGAAUAUUGGACAAUGGGCGAAAGCCUGAUUCAGCCAUGCCGCGUGUGUGAAGAAGGUCUUCGGAUUGUAAAGCACUUUAAGUUGGGAGGAAGGGCAGUAAGUUAAUACCUUGCUGUUUUGACGUUACCGACAGAAUAAGCACCGGCUAACUCUGUGCCAGCCGCCGCCGUAACAC